UACGUAGGGGGCAAGCGUUAUCCGGAUUUACUGGGUGUAAAGGGUGCGUAGGCGGCCUGCUAAGUCUGGAGUGAAAGGUACCGGCUCAACCGGUACAGGCUCUGGAAACUGGCGGGCUAGAGAGCAGGAGAGGGCGGUGGAACUCCAUGUGUAGCGGUAAAAUGCGUAGAUAUAUGGAAGAACACCAGUGGCGAAGGCGGCUUACUGGACUGUAACUGACGUUGAGGCUCGAAAGCGUGGGGAGCAAACAGG
rnacentral:rRNA from 1 species